rnacentral:rRNA from 1 species
GACGAACGCUGGCGGCGUGCCUAAUACAUGCAAGUAGAACGCUGAAGGAGGAGCUUGCUUCUCUGGAUGAGUUGCGAACGGGUGAGUAACGCGUAGGUAACCUGCCUGGUAGCGGGGGAUAACUAUUGGAAACGAUAGCUAAUACCGCAUAAGAGUAGAUGUUGCAUGACAUUUGCUUAAAAGGUGCAAUUGCAUCACUACCAGAUGGACCUGCGUUGUAUUAGCUAGUUGGUGGGGUAACGGCUCACCAAGGCGACGAUACAUAGCCGACCUGAGAGGGUGAUCGGCCACACUGGGACUGAGACACGGCCCAGACUCCUACGGGAGGCAGCAGUAGGGAAUCUUCGGCAAUGGACGGAAGUCUGACCGAGCAACGCCGCGUGAGUGAAGAAGGUUUUCGGAUCGUAAAGCUCUGUUGUAAGAGAAGAACGAGUGUGAGAGUGGAAAGUUCACACUGUGACGGUAUCUUACCAGAAAGGGACGGCUAACUACGUGCCAGCAGCCGCGGUAAUACGUAGGUCCCGAGCGUUGUCCGGAUUUAUUGGGCGUAAAGCGAGCGCAGGCGGUUAGAUAAGUCUGAAGUUAAAGGCUGUGGCUUAACCAUAGUACGCUUUGGAAACUGUUUAACUUGAGUGCAAGAGGGGAGAGUGGAAUUC